rnacentral:SRP_RNA from 1 species
GCCAGGCGUGGUGGUGGGCGCCUGUAAUCCCAGCUACUCAGGAGGCUGAGGCAGGAGAAUCGCUUGAACCUGGGAGGCGGAGGUUGCAGUGAGCCGAGAGCCGAGAUCGCACCACUGCACUCCAGCCUGGGUUACAGAGCGAGAGUCUGUCUCAA